UCCCUGGUGGCUCAGAUGGUAAAGGCGUCUGCCUGCAACUCAGGAGACCCGGGUUUGAUCCCUGGGUUGGGAA
rfam:Ovis aries breed Texel chromosome 12, whole genome shotgun sequence.